GAAUAUUUUGGGGGCACUUUUAGGUUAUCUACUUAUAAAGAUCAUGUCAUCUGCAAACGGAGUAUUUUCUUCUUUCCUAGUUUGGAUGCUUUGGUCCAGUUCUAUGUUAAACAGAAAUGCAGAGAAUGAGCAUCCUUGUCUUGUUCCUGACCUUAAAAGAAAAGCUUCCGAUUAAGUACUGGGGAUCGAACUUGGGACCUUGCACUUGUGAGACAGGCGGCAGAACCACUGAGCAGGGCCAUUUCCAGAGGACAGCAUGCAAAUCAAAUGCUUCUCUGGCACCCCAGAAGAGUACGCAGCACUCAGAACUAGGAACUCGUAGUAUGCAGGAAGGCUUGGUGGCUCUUGGUGGUUCGCUGACUAUACGGUAAGUCCCCGAUUUACAAAUGAGUUCUAUUCCGGGAGAAUGUUUGUGAGUUGGAUUCAUCCCUAAGUCUGACAAAGUGAGUCUUACGCACCUUUGACACAAAUAUACAAUGUGUAUUGCUCUGUGCUUCCCAGCAGUCCUCUCCCUAUCACCACUGCUUUUCCUUUUGCUUCUGGACAUCCUGGGCUGUGACUGAGCACUGUACUGCUGUGCACUACCACACUGUACAGUCAGCACACAGCAGCACAACUGUGACAAUGUUUGGCAGACAUGUGAGCUACUUCUGCGAUUUGUUCCCAUGCAUCUAGAAUGUUUGUAAUAUGAAGUUCGUUCAUUAUCUGUGAAAGUUCAUAACUUGAAUGCUCCUAAGUCAGGGACUUACUGUACAGCAUAGUCCAAAGUCCUCUAUAUGCUUUGUGAGUGUUAAUCCUGACAUGUCAACUUCAUUGGAUUAAGAAACACCUAGCAGAUUAAUAAAGCAUGCUCCUGGGUGUGUAAGGGUGGGUCAUGGAGGCCUAGCCUACAAACUAGUUAUUGUCCCUGGGUCAUUGUCCUCUGGCCCUGUUCUCCUGGUCUGCUUCCCAGAAGCCGAGAACUAAGCAGCUUGCUCCACCAUGACUUUCUGCCAUGAGGUUUCUGCCUUUUAGCUAUCUGUCCAUGUACUGAAUGCCCUGAAACCAUGAGCUAAAUUGAACCUCUCCUCCUGUAAGGUGUGGGUGUCAGGUGUUGUGUCUCAGCAGUGAGAAAGCUGACUGAUAUACCCUCCAACAACAUUUUCCACUUGAAACCUCUUCUACACCUCUAAGAUACUGUGGGCUUCUAUUUCCUACUUAGACUGUAUCUUCUCAUGUAAAGUCCAUCUUUUCUCAUUCAGAAUUAUCCUGUUUUUUGAGCUCUAGUAUGGUAUUCUUACACUUCAAUUGUAACACUUGCCUUAUAACUAAUUUUUCUACUACCAGUCUCUCAUCCAAGGUGAGACGUUAACUCCUUAUUGAUCUUUUCAUCUUCUCUCGUCCAUCUAUCUCCAAUAUCUGGUUUGAGACUUCAUGCAUGACAGAUGUGUUAAAAUAAACCUGAAAGUUGGUUUUGGAUAAACCUCACUGGAGUUGUCAUCUUGAUAAUUACAUUCCAAAUGGGAGGGCUGUAUAUUCUGGUGGAGUUAUGUGAGAAUCCAGGUCAAAUGAUGCAAAUGACAUUGCAUUUAAAACCAGAAAUUCCCAUAACUUUGGGAGGUCGAGGGUCACAAGUUUGAGUCCAGCCCGGAUAAUUUGGCAACUUAGUGAGACCCUGCUUAAAAUUAAAAAUUAAGAAAAAAAAAGACUUGAGGGCCUGGUUCAAAUCCCAGUGAUGCAAAAACCAAACCAAACCAAACCAAACCAAACCAAACCCCAGAAACUGCUGAACUUGAUCAACUGCAGCAGUAUUCAGACAUCAAAGCCCUAGGUCUGUCUGAUUAGUUUUCUAUUGCUGUAUACCAAAUUAGCACAAAGAGUAGUUUAUCGUAACAUAAAUUCAUCUGGGAACAUCUGCAGGUGAAAGUCCAGGACUGGAUUCUCUGUAGUGCUCCGGCUGAUGUCAAAGCCAUUGGCCACAGUUCUGGCUGUUGUAUGAACUGGAGGUCCUCCUCCAAGCUCACUAGGUACUGGCAGAGGCAUUGAUAUGACAUUUCCUUAAGGUUGUAGGACUAAGACCUUUUUAAAAUUUGCCCUCAGCUGGCGUAUGCUCAGCUCCUAGAGGCUGUCCACGUUGCUUGCCAUGUGACCCCCUUCAUCCUAAGCCCUGGACUCCCCUUCUUUCUGACUUUUGGACUCCUUCUGACUUGCCUAUCUCUGUGAGUUGUUUCAUGAUAGUGUUGGAAGACGCUCAUAUGGAUCAGCUGCCUUUUGAGAUACAAUCUUAGUGAAGUGGAGAUAGCAAGCCUUAAUGUUUAUUUAUUUAUUUUUUUGAGAAUAGUAGUAUGAAUUGUCUGAGAGGGGUCAGUGAGCUAUGGCCAACCACCUAAUUUUGGAAAUAAAUUAUGGGACCCAAGCUACACCCAUUCAUUUGCAAAUGAAUUCUAGCUGCUUUUGCGCUACAGUAGCAGGGUUGAGUAGCUGUGAUGUGGUGGAGACCUUCUGGCCCACAAAAACCAAAACACCACCUGGUCCCUUGGCCUGCUGACUCCUGGCCUAAAACCAUGUCCAUAGUUCCCUGAUGAUAAGAAUCACCUGGAUCACUUGUUAAAAAACCAAUUUCUGGGUCUAGCCUCGACCCACUGAGUCAGAAUCUCCAGCAUAGGAGGUGUGAGAAGCUGUGUUGAGCAAGCUUUUCUGGGUGAUUCUCAUCUCAACAGAAGGACUAGCCUUCCUGCAAAGUGAGGUGAGAGUACAGCUGUCUAGAGGGAGACUGAGAUUCCCCUGUGUAUCUCCCUGACCUGUCUCUGGAAACCUCGCCAUUUCAGGUAAGUUACUUUUAACUUUCAUUUUCCUGGCCUGACACGUGAGGAUAUAGUAACUCAUUAUUAUCCUGUGUCCCUGUGUCAAGUGCCGGACACAACUUGAGGGUUCGUAAUGCUAGCCCCUCUCAAGAGGAACAGCAUUGCUGCAGCCUGCGAAGAGGACAGAGCUUUACAACAACAGUCCAUGGUGUGUAGGAGUCUUCCUCAGAAGGAAAAACUUCCUGCAAUGCAAUUUUCCAUUACAGAGUACAUUCAGGACAACAUAAAACUCUUUAGAAAUUCAAAAUUCCCUACAGAUCAUUGAAUAUUGCAAGAGGUCAUAAAUGAUUAGGAUAUAACUGAGUUUGCGAAGGAAUAUUUAAUUUUAUGAUUGAGAACCCUGGUACUUAGCAGGAAACCUUUCCCCCUUACUUCUGAGGUUAAUGCUUUUAAAAAUCAUUGCCUGAUGAGAUCAUGCAAAUUCAGCCAUCUGUAUAGCUGUUGAAAGAAAAUUUUUAGAUAAAUUGGUAUGCCUUUGCCACAUAAAUCUUUAUAAGAUACAGGACUCCAAUAAUACUUCAAGUUACCAGGGAGUUUCAUAUUUUACUAAAAGGGGGAAAAAUCAAUCUUGAAUCUCUUAGUCCAGUGACCAAAGAAUCACUCCAUUGAUUUUGCUCAGCUACUCAGGUGGGUGUGCAAUUUAUCCUGAUCUGAUAUUAUCCGAUUUAAAGUUUACUUUUUCUGGGAAGUAUUAAUUCGAGUGUUAUAUGGGCAGUACUGUAACACCAGACUCUCUUUACAGUCACUUUACACAGCUUAUGUAAACAUCUCAGGAUAGAGUUUCCUUUUAGCAUUUUUUUUUUUUGGUGUUUGCCGAAUGCUAUUCUUCUUUUCAACAGCAGAGGGAAGCAAAGCCCUGUCUAAACAGUGUAUCUGAGUGCCAGCCUGGAAGGAAAGGGAUCCAUGUUCCUUUGAGAGACCAGGGAAACAAGAACAGAAUGAAUCUGCCAGGUAUGAUUUAGCUUUGGAAAAAAAAUACAGAGUUGGAAAAUGAGUAUGUUUUGCCAAUUUAAAUUUUAGCUUUCAGUUCUUAAAAAUGUACCAAUGGGGAACCAAGAAAAAUAAAUCUGUAGUGGCCAGGGCAAGGGAUAUUCAUUUGGAUGAAAUGCAGGGUCAGGACCUUGCUAAUACCUUGAAACAUGGUUGGGUGAACAGAUGGUUCAGUGCCUGACAGAAGUAACUCCCUAAGCAAAAUUUCAGGCCAAUGGGUUUAGCUCAGGGCUACUGGCCACUUGAACUAAUAAUAUCUUCUCCCUCUCACCUCAGGGGAAAAGCCAGAGUUGAGGACCACUAGAAGCUUCAUGAGUUCCUCCUGGCGUUGUCCAUUCUAUUUUGUUGUUGUUGUUUUAGACACAGAGAAGCACUAUGUACUCCAGGCUGGCCUUGAAUUUGCUAUGUAGCCCAGGCUGGCCUUGAACUAGUGAUGCUUACACCUCAGCCUCCUGAGUGCUGGGAUUAUGUGGACGCCUCAUGAAAUUAUUGACUCAGAGAUUCUCCUGGACCAGUGGUGGUGAACCUAUGUCAUAGGUGCUGCAUUGGGCUGUUUGUUAUCAUCAAAAACUCUGAAAGGUUUGCCAUCACUGCCCUAGAUAAGGGUUUCUAGGGCAGAUGCCACACCCUGACACCUGAUGAAUAUCUGUGGUCCAUACCUGGUGCCACCCUUCCUUGCUAACCCCUAUGGAAGACUGCAGCUAAGAGUUCAGAGGCACUCUUCCUACAGAGGUGGCCAUCUUGGCUAGAAUCUGUUAUCUGUGAGUUUCUGUGUUCUGUAGCUUUGAAGGACAGAAAGUCCUUCACAGGGCCUUAUUGGAGGGGAGAUAUGAACAUUUGGAUUAAUUUCAUUUUAGAGAUUCAUUGAGAGAUAGAAUACAUUUGUGUGUGUGUGUGUGUGUGUGUGUGUGUGUGUGUGUGGUGUCUUGGAAACACUCUUGGAUGGGAGUCAUUGGAGGACUAAACUGGGUGGAGCUCACGGCUGCUUGGCCGGCUGUGUGACUGACCUUGGACACAUCUCCUAACCUUCCUGCUUUUUCUCUUAUAGAAUAGGUAUUAUAAUACAUGUAUUGUCUAUUUCAGAAGCUGUUAUGAAGAGCAGGUGAAAUGUGCUUUUGAAAUGACAAAGAACUGUAUAUAGUGUGUGUGCAGAUCGGAUCUCAGCUUGAAUUUAAAUGAGAUUCAGAACUGUGAUUGGUCACAGAAAAAGCGUAGGCAGGACUAGGGUGCAGCAAGCAGGGUGGCUGGGGUGCAGAAUGUAAGGGGGCACUCCCUCACAGGGGUGUUAGGUGCUACCUAUCAGUGAAC
rnacentral:lncRNA from 1 species